CACUCUACACUUCACUGGCAACUUCCUCGUUGCAAAAUGGGACUGAAACUUCUCAGUACUUGCUGCACCCAAAAGGUGCAGGAAGAGAAAAGAAGAAGAAAGCCAGAGAGAGCCAUCUAUACUGCAAAUCUGACUGUUUCUCUCCAAAUGAAAAUCUCUUUGGUGGCUCCACACCGUCUUUGACAAAAUUCAUCCUUCUGUCCUCUGAAUGUUUCCGAUACACCUGCUAUGCAUCAGACAGUGUUCUAGGCCCAGGGGCUAGACCAUUCAGUAGCUUUUACUUGGCUGAACGAGGAAAAAGCAAAGUCCGUAUCUUCACGGGGCCCCCGUUCUACUCGAUGCUGGCGUGGGAGACAGAGAAGCAGCAGAAGAAAAAUCAAGCAGGAACGAUUAUUGAACCAAUCACCGGAAUCCUGGGAGGAGGUUCUCUUCUUAGAGAAGCAGGACAAUUGAGGGAGUUGAUCUUUUGUGUCCCCGGGAGAGAGAGAAGAGAAAGGAGCGGAGUCCAGGAACAGACAGAGGGAGCCACGAUAUUUUUUCCAGAACCAACGUUCAGAAGUCUGCCCUCACCCUUUGGUAUGACUCGGGAUUUGCCCCCAGCGCCAGCCCCCUGUGGCCACUCUGAGGCCAAGUAUGAACAUUUUGGGGUCAGACCACGCAAUGACUCAUCCUCGCGGCGUGUGCCCGUCAACGGCGCAAGGAGAGGGGGAGGGGGCUUCUCAAGGACGCCAACCCACCUCUGCGGGCAGCAAGGAGCUGCUGGGUGUGUCCAAACGACUAGAAGCCAAGCUUCCAGCUAAGAAAAGCAGACCUGGUUUCUAUCCCCACAGGAGAAAAAAGAGAAAGGAAAAAAAAACAAAAACAAAAACAGACUAAGAGGAGGGGGCACAGAAUCUUCCAGAUGCCUGUUUCCUCCAUCCUCCCUUCGUAAUUACCCACAGCAGCAGCCGGCAUCCUGGAAAGAGCCAGGUUUGGGCUCCGAGACCUACGUAAAGGGCCCUUGGGGCCGUGAGUCACCUCUGACUCUGACGGCUCGACAAAGGUGACAGCUGAGAGCGAUGUGGUCUCUUUUACCCAGCCGUGCACGGCCCCUUCCCGCCAAAGUGGGGUGUGACACAUAUCUCCCCCCCACCCCCCCCCCCCGCUACCUGCAAGCCCAGCUCUCCUUGGGUGGGGGAAGGGGGUGGGCGGGAUGGUUCCUCGUUUGUAUACAUCAGGGCCCUGUUUGCAUGGAUCCCCGGCAGCACCGGGGCUCCAGGACAGCCGGCCCAGACCCGAGGGACCUCGAAGCCCCGUGGGGAAGGCCUGCAAAACAAAAGAGGGCCUGGUCCCUCACCCGGACACAGAGAGCCGCUCCCAGCCCUGUCUAGGCACGGGCCACAGGGUCUGGUCACUGAGGGCCGGGAAGCGGGGACCCAAGGCUGACCCGGUGGGGGGCAGGGGAGUGGGCAGCGAAGGCAGGCGGGGAGACUGGCGUGCCGGACAACCGUCCUCAGAUGGGCACUGUGAGCACCAGGCCAAGGACGGCCUCCGCACCCAGUGAAGAAGCUGGUGGCCGUGGGUGUUGGGGGCAAGGAACAUCCUUCCGUCCCAGUUCGCUCCACAACGGUGAGCAGAGGAAGAAAACAGUUUUAGUAUCGAAUAAGCGUGGAAGCCGGUUGCAGCGCGCCCACACGCGAGGCUCCGUGGAGAUGACACAGCCGGAAAGACAGUGUGCCAUUUUCUGUGCCACCGAACAGCCACAAUCCGUUGUGAACACGUGCCCAAGACUAAGGGCAGCCCGUCGUCCCACAGGAGGGCCUGGCCACGCCGUCCUCGUUCUCCACGCGGUUACCCGAGUUCACCCACCGGCUCCGGGAGCCGGUUGUGCCGGUGAGUUUGCCUUUGCCUCUAGGACAAGCCGGCUGUCACAGCCUGGAGCGUGGUGACAGGCACGGUGGGACCGCAGACGUUGAUGUCUGCAUUUCAAAGAGAUAAUGAGGACCGUUAAGCUGUUACAGAACACGCCUGGGCUGUAAAGCUGGCGAGAAGUGUACAAAUAAUUCACACUUGGAUUCCUACCUAUUCCUACGCGUGUUGUAUACACGAAUUCCGACGUGUCAAAGGGACAGAGGACGAAUUCACAAGCACUGGGUUUCUCCUGGGAAUGCUCUACCAAAGGGAAGCCUCUCUUCCCCUUUCCGGCCACUAGACAAGUUCAGCUUUAAAUUUACCUUACAUGGGGGAGGGCAGGGCGCUAAGACAUGGGUGGGGCCUGGGCCUCCUUCCCCAAGUUCUGGGACAUUCCAAAGCCGGCUUCCUUACACAUUUCCAGGAGGACAUGACUGGGAAGCAUGUGAUGGCCUACAGCUGACAUGAGGGGAAUUUUUCCAGGACCUGGGAGGUGGGAACUGCUUUCCUGCCGGAGAGACACAUGCCUCUGGCUUGGUUAGAGGUGACGUUUUGUUAGAGGGACUUGCCAGAUACAGUCGGUGUCAUCUCUGUGAACGAUGCCUAAAGUCCUCUGUGGGGUCCGGAGUCGCUGAGAUGCUCUCGUGGGAACUUUGUGCACCGGACGUGCUUGGCCAGGUGUGAAACCGACUCUCAUCGCAGGGCCAGCCUCAGAAGGACCAGUCCAUGGGCCCCUGGUGGGGGGAGUCUCUUUCUGUGGGCUGAGUCCCGGGGCGGGGGGUGCUUUCUGACAUUUAAGCCAUCCCACCUCUGCGUGGAGUGCAGUCAUUUCCAGGAACAGAAAAUGGCAGACGUUUCUAGAGCGGCUUCUGCAAACCACAGGUGUUGUCCCCCGUAGCCCAACCCACUACCUCGAACCACGGGUGUCACGGAGACCACUGUGACCUGAGCAGGAGGAAACAUUCUCUCUCGAGGACCAGGGUAGCCGCCCCCUCCCCCCCCGCUCCCCUGCCAGGUAAUUGUGGAAAUCACUCUAUUGCAUCCUGGAAGCCCCUUCCCCAAGAGAAAUAAUGCAGAUUUGGCCACACAGACACGCAAAGAUCCCAGGGGGGAGAAUAUGUUGCUAGGACUCCAGAAGAAAGGGGAUGUGUGCAGAAGCAGCAGAAAACCAUCAUGAUGUCCUCGUUUUCUUCCGUGUUAAUUUCAGACCAUGGCAAGGCCUGAUUCAGACACCCCCUCCUCCCUGCAGUCUUCCUGCUUUCCCCCCAUCUCCCCAUCCCCCCCAGCCCAGAGCCCGCGUUUGCCUUCACCCACACCACCCUCCUAUCCACCGAAUGAAUAAAAGACUCUGAUACCCUGAAGUUUUCUGACUUCAAGAGAUGGUCAUUGUAGAACAUCUGGAAAAGCACAAAGAAAAUUAAAAUCACAAAUAAUCCCCCCCCCAUCUGGAUGGAUAUUUUCCCAUUCUUCGUCCUGUGAAUUUUAUGUAUCCUACAAC